CAGAGACAGCAAGUGUCGAUAACUCCACCAGAAUUUUUGCUCCAUUAGGAGUAGAGAAGUGGAGUAGUAGUUUAUCUGGGAUAUAAGGUCACAAGAGAUUCUUUUUUUUAAGAUGGGAGAAAUUACAGCAGACUUGUAUGCUGACAGAAAUGGGAACAGGAAAGGGGAAAUUUGAUUAUGCCCUGGGGAGAAGAAAUAACUGAUGGAGAUGAGAAAGAGCAGAAAGUGAGAGAGACAGCAAGUGAGCAUGAGAGACGCAGACAGAGAUGAAGCCUGAGAGAGUGAGAGCCAUAUGCAGAGGGCACCUGUGCUGGUCUUUGCAGAAGCUCUGAGGGGAAAUGGCUGCACGGAGCUUGUGGGAAAAGGACCAUGGGCUUCUGAGCCAACAUGCUCUGCCCCUAAGCAUGUAAUGGAAACAGCAGAGGGCCGCCGGGUCUGCAGCGAUAUACAAACAAGAACACUGGACAUCAGAGGGUCACAUGUGUGGACAAUCAGAAGGUGUUUCCCCGCCCUCCCACCUCCCCGUCCUGAGCUCUUGGAAAUUCACAGAAUCCAAACUAUGGCACUUACCCUAACAGAACCGGGGAGAAGCCCAAGAAGGAUGAAAGUUGUCCAGACUACGACACCCGCCUGUGUUUGUUGCGUCUCAUACAAAAAUGUCUGGUCAAAGAGUGGGUGUUCAGGCUGGGCGAAUCCCAAGUGUUCGCUGCAUCCUAAGCCCUGCACCUAGAGAAAGAGGGUUUGGGGGAUAUUUCCACCUGGAAGCUACCCGGAAGAGGUGCUUUUUGGUAAUUAGUUGCUAGCGGAGCCCUGAAAGUUACUGCCACCAACGCAGAGUCAAAAACUAAUGUGAAUCCUAGAGAAGCUCUAGUCUUCCAUAUCUAAGCUGUACAUGAGCUGCAUAUCCACUGUGUAAUGUUUGCCAGGCCUGCCUCAUAGAUCACUGAGAAUAUCAAGUGAGGUAACAUAAAUGGAGAAAGUGUUUGAAAACUGAUGAAAUGCACAAAAGCUUAAGGCAUUAUUAUCAACAGCUUUGAGUUUUUGGGUCAGAACAUUUCUUUUUGUGUAUAAUUCACAUGAUCAGUAUAAAAUAUUUCAUUUAUCUUUGUUGCAUGCUAUUUGGAAGUGUGAAGGAAGGGCUAAGCCUACAAAAUUGCAUGUGUACUUCAUGCCAUUGCAUUUCGUUUGUGGAGUGGUCAUUCUAUCCUUAGAUCACUUAUUUGUUUAGCAGAGACAAUGUAUGUUCUAUGCACUACUAAAUAAAGUUGAUGAUGGUAACACUUAAACUAAAAAUAUAAAGCACCAUGAAACUCAAUGAAAUUGUUCUUAAAGGUCUCUGAAAAGCAAACUUCCACAAUGCCAAAAUAUUUUCCUCUGUUGGAAUACCAGAUCACAUUUUAAAUGAAAAUACUGCAUUCAUAUAAAACUACAUGGUUUUGCCUUGUAUUGUCAGAGCAGGAUCUGAACCUGGGGACUCUAUUUUUGAAACAGAAUCCGAUAAAACUUCUAUUUUGGCCUCAUAAAGGCCUUUCUCUC